rnacentral:tRNA from 1 species
GAGGGUAUAGCUCAAGCGGUAGAGCACAUGCUUAGCAUGCAUGAGGUCCUGGGUUCAAUCUCCAGUACCUCCU